rnacentral:lncRNA from 1 species
UUGCUUUCCCCAAUUCUCAUAUUCAAAGUUGUCCAGAAAACAGAAAAGGAAAAAAUCAGACCAUUUCUUCAGUCAUCACAUGUAAUACAAACUCUCUAUUCCCUCACCACAUCCACCUUCUUUUGUUUUCUUCUGGGCAUGUUCUUGAUUUUUGAUCAUCCACCUAACCUAAUUAUUAUUACCAUUUAUGAAUUUGAAG